GGUUUUUUGAAUUUAUAUAAGAUCUGACCUGCCCAUUGAUUUAUAAUAUUAAAAGGCUGCGGUAUUUUAACUGUACGAAGGUAGCAUAAUCAUUUGUCUUUUAAUUGAAGGCUGGUAUGAAUGGUUUGAUGAAAAAUUUACUUUAUUUUUAUAAUUUAUUUGAAUUUAAUUUUUUAUUUAAAAAGUUAAAAUUUUUUUAUAGGACGAGAAGACCCUUUAGAAGUUUAAUUAAUUUAUUUAAUUUUUUUUUUGUUGAUUAUAAUAUUUAUUGAAUGUUAAUUUUUGUUGGGGAGACAGGAGAAUUUUUUUAACUUUUUUUCUUUGAUUUCAUUAAUUUAUGUGUUUUUUGAUCCAUUAUUAUUGAUUUUAAGAUCAACUUACCUAAGGGAUAACAGCGUAAUUAUUUGGGAAAGUUCAUAUUUAUGAAUAAGUUUGCGA
rnacentral:rRNA from 1 species